rnacentral:lncRNA from 1 species
AGGAGAGGAAACGCUUUCUGGAGAGAAAGAGGGAAAGUUUAAAGAGAAGACUGCAGUUGGUAGAAAAUGAGUUUGGAGGAAACGUGGUGAGCCUUUCCUCUCCAGCUGAACGUCAGUAGGUCACAGUGGGAGCAGAGGUCUGGACCAAAGAGCUGUCUCAAGCCCAAAUCAUUUCAGAUGGAGGUGGAUGCAGACGAUAAGCGCCAUCGCACACGCUCCAAAGUGCCUGUGGAUCCAGCAUUAACAGAGCUUUUCAGUGUGUACGGCUGCCCUCUGGCCAAGAAGAGAAAGAGUCUAGACAGACAAACCCUGGA